GUCACUUUACGUCUCGUUGAAAGAAGCGCCUUACGAAAAGACAAAUGCGGGAUGCAGAAUAAUGGUGUUUGAAAACAGGAAUCGAUAGAGAGGACCUGCUUUAAAUACAUCAUUGUGGAGUGAGUUUUCAAGUGGUUUCCUGCAGCAAGGGAUUGGCCCGAACCUGAGAGACCGAACACAGACACAUCUAACAGUACAAAUGCUGCAAGACGUGGAAGUAUCGGGGUCUAUCGUGGACUGACAGCAGUGGUGGUAGUUGUGUUGGUUGUUUUUUUUGUUUUUUGUUUUUUGUUUUUUUUUACAUUUUAUUUAUUCACUGUCUUUCUGAUAAACAACAUUUAUGCUCAGACUCCAGUGGAGGAUCUGGUGAAAUAAACAUCUCUGCUGGCUCAGAGGAAACAGUUUGAUCAACAAAAUUUAAGGAAACAGGUCUAUACGAUGGACAGAUCUGAACAGAGCAGCAGGCUGUGAGACAAUCAGGGAACCGAGGAGGAGGAGAAGGGGAUCAAGCUCUGUUUUAAUCCUGCACUUGGCUAAUAGUCCAUGAAGCAAAAGGACAAACAGGGCUCGGGCCGGUUAAACAACAUUAUAUCAUGCACUUUUGUGUUUCCACAGAGACCUGUGUCCACCACAACAUCCUGGAUCAAGUUGUUGCACUCGACAGGUGGACACAAAAAUGGAGAGUUGUGUUGGCUGUUUAUUACCUUUUUCUUUAUUCACUUGCAGUCUGAUGAGUUCAGUGGAGGAAUUAGAAAACAUUGAGCAACAAUAAUGGAGUUGAUGGCAACCAAAAUAACUUUUUGUUUCAGUUUGUUAUAUUUGGUGGAUCUAGAGGAACUGGAGUGGAGGAACAAAGAUAAAUAUUUGCUGAGAAUAUUACUGGUGGCUUGUAAGAAAUUAGUAACGAAGAAAUGGCUGAAGAGGGUGACACCUAGUGUAGGUGAAUGGAUUGAUACUGUGUACAGAAUCUUUGUAAUGGAAAGAAUUCAUCUAAGGACACAAAAAGAGGUAUUUAUUAAAAAUUGGCAAAAAUGGAUUACAUAUGUCUCUACCAUUAGACCGGACUUCAGGUAGUCUCAGACUGGACUAUCACAAUACUUCUAUGUAUUUACUUUUCUCUUUACCUUUUUUUUCCCCACUUUCACGACUGGACGUGUUUACCAGUCCCCUUUUUUUUGCACUCGUCUAUAGGUCUUCAUGUUGAUUGUUUGUUCGUUAAUAUGCAUAAUCACAAACCAAUAAAAAGUAAAUGACAAAAAAAAAGUAAUGGAGUUGAUGGAGAAAGCGUUGUUCUUCACCGUCAUGUUGUCCAUUACUUUGACAGACGUCUCAUCAAACUCUGUAACUUAUUAGACGGAUCUGAGAUCUGCUCUGUGUUCACUUUACUGAAUAAUGCUGAGAAACAUGUUGUCGUCGUACACCAUGUGUAACGACUGUGUGCAAUGAUGAAUUGGGCCUGAAUGAGAUAUGACAUUAACACUGACAGUAUAUCCUGUACUGACCUCCUGCUGGAUGUAAAGAGAAAUCAGAUGAACUUUAGAUCAGAGAACAUUCAGCAGCUCAAAACAGAAAUUACACCAUAAAACAUUAAAUUAACUGAAGAACUGUGAAGCACUAAAAACAGAUAUUUGGCUUUAAUGUUGUAAUGCAUGAUCCCUCUAUAUGCACUUUGUGGUAAAUGUGUUUUGUUAUGUUCACUUUGUGUCGUUUGUGUUGUUUUUGUUCUUUAUCAAGGUUCUUUUUAUCUUUCAGUUUUGACCCUCUGUCCAGAUUUCAUGAACAGGUUUAACUUUCUCUCCUGGAGUUUUAACCUCUUCAUGUUGUAAUGUGCAGUUGGAACUGAAAUUAAGUGCUGCUGUUUGAUUUGUGUUUGUUAUUUACUGUCUGUUACUGACUGUCAUUUUGUCUCUGAAUGUGUGCUUGAAAGAGAAGUUGUGAUUUGUUGACGCUGGUGUUAAAGAUAAAGUUCAGCAGAGGGAGCUCUUCACUUUAAAGUCAUAGUAUUAAGUGAAUUUUGUUUUCCACAAGUUCAAGUCUCAAACAGCUGUGUAGCUCUCAGGGGAGGCAGGUUUGUGUAGUUGGUAUGGAGCCGCCCACUGUGGCUGACUGGUAGCAGCUGGACUCCCAGUGCUUCCAGUAACAGAAUAAACAGGUCAAUGAUAUAAUAAAUAACAAUGUACUGGAAGAUAAAG